GCGGAUCUAGCCAAGUGGAUCAAGGCAGUGGAUUGUGAAUCCACCAUGCGCGCGCGGGUUCAAAUUUUCCCCCGUCGUUCGCC
rnacentral:tRNA from 1 species